rnacentral:rRNA from 1 species
CCUACGGGUGGCAGCAGUAGGGGAUAUUGCACAAUGGGGGAAACCCUGAUGCAGCGACGCCGCGUGUGGGAAGACGGUCCUCGGGAUUGUAAACCACUGUGCCCAGGGACGAAGAUGACGGUACCUGGGGAGGAAGCUCCGGCUAACUACGGGCCAGCAGCCGCGGUAAUACGUAGGGAGGGAGCGUUGUCCGGAAGUACUGGGUGAAAGGGGAGCGUAGGCGGGGAUGAAAGUUGGGUGUAAAAACUACCGGUUAAACUGGUAGGCGCACUGAAAACUGCAGCUCUUGAGUGAAGUAGAGGCAGGCGGAAUUCCUAGUGUAGCGGUGAAAUGCGUAGAUAUUAGGAGGAACACCAGUGGCGAAGGCGGCCUGCUGGGCUUUUACUGACGCUGAGGUUCGAAAGUGUGGGGAGCAAACAGGAUUAGAUACCCCUGUAGUC